rnacentral:rRNA from 1 species
UACGUAGGGACCGAGCGUUGUCCGGAUUCAUUGGGCGUAAAGAGCUCGUAGGCGGCCACUCAAGUCGAAUGUGAAACCUCGAGGCUCAACCUCGAGCCUGCAUUCGAUACUGGGCGGCUAGAGUCUGGUAGGGGGAUCUGGAAUUCCUGGUGUAGCGGUGGAAUGCGCAGAUAUCUGGAGGAACACCGGUGGCGAAGGCGGCAUCCUGGACCAACACUGACGCUGAGGAGCGAAAGCCAGGGGAGCAAACGGG